rnacentral:lncRNA from 1 species
GUUGUCCAUAUGACAGGAUAACUCUGAAGGACAGAGCUUGUCUGGAUUCACAAUUGACAUAGCAGAUAUAAAGCUUAGGACAGAGUCUAGAGCUGUGAAGAUGAUGCCUGGAGGAUACAAACCUUCCCACCUGGUCAGAAGCCUAGACAACUGUCAAAUGAGAGACAACGUGAACCAGUCCCCCACAUUACCCCUGGAAACAGUCAGCUGACUACCAGGCCUGUGAGAUGUACCCUGAAAAGUCAGAUGAUCACAAUGGGCUUAAGAUACUUUUCUUGGAAAAAUGCCACCCAGCAACACACUGAGCAAUCAUUUCCAUCUUCUUGAUAAAGAUGCAAAGGAAAUAUGGAUGCAUUUAGCCUGGUCCACAAGACUACCACAGGAG